CCUACGGGUGGCUGCAGUGGGGAAUAUUGCACAAUGGGGGGAACCCUGAUGCAGCGACGCCGCGUGGGUGAUGAAGUACUUCGGUAUGUAAAGCUCUAUCAGCAGGGAAGAAAAUGACGGUACCUGACUAAGAAGCCCCGGCUAACAACGUUCCAGCAGCCGCGGGAAGACGGAGGGGGCAAGCGUUAUCCGGAUUUACUGGGUGUUAAGGGAGCGUAGGCGGCGUGCCAGGUCUGAUGUGAAAGGCCGGGGCUCAACCCCGGGACUGCAUUGGAAACUGGCAUGCUGGAGUUCCGGAGGGGGAGGCGGAAUUCGUGGUGUAGCGGUGAAAUGCGUAGAUAUUAGGAAGAACACCGGUGGCGAAGGCGGCUUGCUGGACGGUAACUGACGCUGAGGCUCGAAAGCGUGGGGAGCAAACAGGAUUAGAUACCCGGGUAGUC
rnacentral:rRNA from 1 species